AUAUCAGUCAUGCAUAGCAUAUCAAUAAGCGGAGGAAAAGAAACUAACAAGGAUUCCCUUAGUAACGGCGAGUGAAGCGGGAAGAGCUCAAAUUUGAAAUCUUCAAGGUUCUACCUUGACGAAUUGUAGUUUAUAGAAGUGUUUUCUGUUAGUGGAGUGGCAAAAGUUCUUUGGAAUAGGACAUCAUAGAGGGUGAGAAUCCCGUAUUUGGUCAUUCCUCCUAGCGUUGUGAUACACUUUCAACGAGUCGGAUUGUUUGGGAAUGCAGUCCAAAAUGGGUGGUAAAUUUCAUCUAAAGCUAAAUAUUGGCGAGAGACCGAUAGCGAACAAGUACCGUGAGGGAAAGAUGAAAAGAACUUUGAAAAGAGAGUUAAACAGUACGUGAAAUUGUCAAAAGGGAAGCGUUUGACACCAGUGUUGUUUUUCCGACAAUCAAUUACGAAUGUUUUGUUUUUGAGGAGUUAUGACUUCAUCGGCUUGCUCCUUUCUUUACGAAACUUUCUUAAUGCACUUUUCGGUUAACAAGUCAACAUCAAUUUCUUUUGUUGUAAAAGGGUAUGAGGAAGGUGGCUUUCUUUUCGGAGAAAGUGUUUAUAGCCUUGUGCCUCUGCAAUCGGAGAGAUUGAGGUCUGCAGCGUAGAUCCUUCGGGGUUAGAUACGUUUGUGCUAAGUUAUAGCUUUUCAUAGACAACUUGUUGACUAUGUUUAGUCUUGUAGCUUACUCGCUGACGCUAUUUUACCUACGCUUAGGAUGUUGAUGUGAUACUGCGAGC
rnacentral:rRNA from 1 species